UAGCUUGGGAAUCUGGCUUAUGAGGGGGAGUAACUACGGGAAACUGUAGCUAAUACCGCGUAGUAUCGAGAGAUGAAAGUGCGGGACCGCAAGGCCGCAUGCCAUGAGAUGAGCCCAAGUGGGAUUAGGUAGUUGGUGGGGUAAAGGCCUACCAAGCCUGCGAUCUCUAGCUGGUCUGAGAGGAUGGCCAGCCACACUGGAACUGAGACACGGUCCAG
rnacentral:rRNA from 1 species